rnacentral:rRNA from 1 species
GACGAACGCUGGCGGCGUGCUUAACACAUGCAAGUCGAACGGAGAGGCCCGGCGUUUGUGGGGUGCUGGAGUGGCGAGCGGGGGAGUAAAACGUGAGGAACCUGUGCUUGAGAUUGGGAGAACUUCAGGGAAAUGGGGUGAAUACCGGGUAGGAGAUCCUGAUGCAUGGGGGGGGUGGGAGAAUGUCGGCGGUGGGGGAUGGACUCGCGGCUUAUCAGCUUGUUGGUGGGGUAGUGAGGUACAGGGGCUUUGACGGGUAGCCGGCCUGAGAGGGUGACCGGCCACAUUGGGCCUGAGAUACGGCCCAGACUCCUACGGGAGGCAGCAGUGGGGAAUAUUGCACACUGGGCGGAAUCCUGAUGCAGCAACGCCGCGUGCGGGAUGACGGCCUUCGGGUUGUAAACCGCUUUCGCCUGUGACGAAGCGUGAGUGACGGUAAUUGGUAAAGAAGCACCGGCUAACUACGUG